GUGGUAUUUUUAUCUGGCUGGAGGCUUGCUGCAUGAAAGAAUCUUCAGAUUGGUUCCCAUUUCCUUAGGGAUGAAUGGAGAUUUUAAGCCCUCUAGGCUGAAAUUAAGGAGAGUCUCAAAAUGAGAGGAAGCGAAAAAGAAGAGGUUUACCAAAGACCCAGAGGUGCUUACUCAUUAAUAGCUCUGCCGGGUAGGGAACCCUUGCUAGUUAGCAGAUCCAGCAUUCCUCUCUAAAGAACAAACUUCCCUGCAAUCAGCCUUGACAAGUGACUUCACCAAAGAUUCAAUGCAAAUAGCUUUUCCUGGCAUAUAUCCUGGGAGAAAUACCGGUGUGCAUUACUCCUCCUCUAACUCUCAGAUGUUAUUUAACUGGUGGUUUAUUGUUUGACUGCUUUUGAGAGUUAUGAUUUUGUUCAGAUGGUAUGGAUAACUGUAGGAGUUCUUUCAUCAGCAAGCAGUAGCUUGUGAGAGUCAAAGGGGUCAAGGAACGGUAUGUAUAUUUCAUCGGAAGCCAUUGUUCAUGCCCCUAUAAGGAUAUGGUUCCGGUGUAACAGAAUAUGUGGUAGAAAAGAAGACGUUUCUUGAGCAUUCCCAUUAUGUCAAUAGUUUUUCUUUCUUUCAACAAAUGGUCUACACAUUUUCCCUGAAAGAUGGAGAUGCUUUGGUUGUAUAAUCAUGCCUUGGCUGAUAGAAGGUUGCUGUGAAAAUUUAAAAAGAGAUUAAAAAAAGAAGAAGCAUA